UACGGAGGGGGUUAGCGUUGUUCGGAAUGACUGGGCGUAAAGCGCGCGUAGGCGGAUCAGGAAGUUGGGGGUGAAAUCCCGGGGCUCAACCCCGGAAUGGCCUUCAAAACUCCUGGUCUUGAGUUCGAGAGAGGUGAGUGGAAUUCCGAGCGUAGAGGUGAAAUUCGUAGAUAUUCGGAGGAACACCAGUGGCGAAGGCGGCUCACUGGCUCGACACUGACGCUGAGGUGCGAAAGCGUGGGGAGCAAACAGG
rnacentral:rRNA from 1 species